GAUGAACGCUGGCGGCGUGCCUAACACAUGCAAGUCGAGCGAUUCUCUUCGGAGAAGAGCGGCGGACGGGUGAGUAACGCGUGGGUAACCUGCCUCAUACACAUGGAUAACAUACCGAAAGGUAUGCUAAUACAGGAUAACAUAAGAGAUUCGCAUGUUUCUCUUAUCAAAGCUCCGGCGGUAUGAGAUGGACCCGCGUCUGAUUAGCUAGUUGGUAAGGUAAUGGCUUACCAAGGCAACGAUCAGUAGCCGACCUGAGAGGGUGAUCGGCCACAUUGGAACUGAGACACGGUCCAAACUCCUACGGGAGGCAGCAGUGGGGAAUAUUGCACAAUGGGCGAAAGCCUGAUGCAGCAACGCCGCGUGAGUGAUGAAGGCCUUCGGGUCGUAAAACUCUGUCCUCAAGGAAAGAAUWAAWKGACCGG
rnacentral:rRNA from 1 species